rnacentral:rRNA from 1 species
UACAGAGGUCUCAAGCGUUGUUCGGAUUCAUUGGGCGUAAAGGGUGUGUAGGUGGCGCGCUAAGUCGGGUGUGAAAUUUCGGAGCUUAACUCCGAAACUGCAUUCGAUACUGGCGUGCUUGAGGACUGGAGAGGAGACUGGAAUUCAUGGUGUAGCAGUGAAAUGCGUAGAGAUCAGCAGGAACACCCGUGGCGAAGGCGGCCCCCUGGGCCGUACCUGACGCUGAGGCGCGAAGGCUAGGGGAGCGAACGGG